UCAGAGGAGUAGAUUGGGCUUACUGUCCAUAUCCAGCCCAGCAUGUGAAGAUAUGGACCCCAAGAGAUGUGUUUCUGGAAGAUAGAUGUGUUUGACUCCAUGAGCAUCUCCUAUAAAGGUCCGUGGCCUGGGGUGGCACUCCAUCCCUCUGCUUGUGUACAGGAUAAAAGGGCUAUCUCCACAAAUCUACCUCAGUGCUGCUGGGAGAACCCAGCACUCAAUUCCGUGGCGGUGGGUACAGGCAUUGAAUCUCUGCUGUCACACCGUCCUCUGCACC